UACGGAGGGGGCUAGCGUUGUUCGGAAUUACUGGGCGUAAAGCGCGCGUAGGCGGACCUGCAAGUCGGGGGUGAAAGCCCGAGGCUCAACCUCGGAACUGCCUUCGAUACUGCGGGUCUCGAGUCCGGGAGAGGUGAGUGGAAUUCCUAGUGUAGAGGUGAAAUUCGUAGAUAUUAGGAAGAACACCAGUGGCGAAAGGCGGCCUCAGCUGGCCCGGUACUGACGCUGAGGCGCGAAAGCGUGGGGAGCAAACAGG
rnacentral:rRNA from 1 species